CGGAGAGGCCGCGGGUCUCCAGAGCCCUGGCUCGGCGCUGCACUCUCCCCUUCUCUGGAGAUCCGGCGCUUGAUGUUACUACGUAUGAGAACCGGCACGGCGCGGGGUAGCCGGCUGGAACCAAGACGGGCGAGCUUCGGCGCUAGGAGGAGUGGCCCCAUGCGAGGCCAGACUGAGCGGAUGGCGGGGAGCGCAGCGGAUCCACCAGGGGAAGGCGCCGGCCGAGAGCGGCCGCCCGGGGACCCGAUCUGUUGGCCAAGGGCCUAGUACUACUUCUUGGCAUUGUGUGGAAGACUUUUCACAUGCUAACUGAGCUUUCAGACAACCCUAUGAG